UUGAGGUUGCUCAGUGAUAGAGCACUCGCCUAGCAUGUGCGAGAGCGUGGGUUCGAUCCUCAGCACCACAUA
rnacentral:tRNA from 1 species